rnacentral:lncRNA from 1 species
UUUCCGUAACCUUGGUUGAGGGGAACCAAGCACUUUAGUUGAAUACAGAAGGUGGUUAACCAAUGGAUAGUAGGCUGCAAUUAAUGAUCAAAGUCUGUCAUACUAGCUCUCGAGCAAGAAGUAAAAUCAUCAUCUAUCAUAGGAGGUUUGUGCCUUUAUGUCUCUGCUGGAAGCCGUGGAUGGUCCAUGGAAGGCAAGGCUUUUGAUGUGCUGGAGGAACUGAAUAUUUGCUUUUUGGAAGUAGUAUUAAGUAGAGAAUAAGAAAAAUGGGCUUGAAUCUGAGGUAGAUCAUGAAGGAUAAGUUAAAGGGCCUUCAUUGUUGCUGUUGAAUGGUGCCUAGGAGAUGGUUUCGUUUUUUUUAGGUGCUUUAUGGUGCUGCUAGGGGGAGUCUUAUUGCAGUUUUGCUACAGCUGGUUUGUACUGGUUUUGGGUGUUUUUAGACCAGCUUGCUUUCCUUGAGAGAAACUUCAUCAACGAAGGAAUUGGAACUGGAGCAGUACCAAGAAUUCACAAUGCAGAUUCCUUAUUCAAGCGUGUGUUGGCUGUAGAUGCGAUUCCUGAUUCCAGAAUUAUUGGGUGUUCAAUAGAGGUUGCAGCUGCGAUGUUUUUGAAGGCAAUAAGUUGGAGCUGAGGCUUUGGUAAUUGGGUGUUCAAUAGAUGACUAGUUUUUAGAUGCAUACGGUGCAGCUUUCUGGCUUUAGUAGUAGUAGUAACUCUUAGUUUACGAUCCAAAUUGUAUGUCUAUACGUGAGCUCAAGUUUUUUAUCUUUUUGUUUGUAUUUGCGUUGAGUUUUGUUUAAGGGUGUUGAGUUUUGUUUAAGGGUUGGAACAUAUAUAAAAGAUAUGAA